CCUACGGGAGGCAGCAGUGGGGAAUCUUGGACAAUGGGGGCAACCCUGAUCCAGCCAUGCCGCGUGAGUGAUGAAGGCCCUAGGGUCGUAAAGCUCUUUCGCCUGUGAAGAUAAUGACGGUAGCAGGUAAAGAAACCCCGGCUAACUCCGUGCCAGCAGCCGCGGUAAUA
rnacentral:rRNA from 1 species